rnacentral:tRNA from 16 species
UCCUUCUUAGCUCAGCUGGUUAGAGCAUCUGACUGUUAAUCAGAGGGUCGCUGGUUCGAGCCCAGCAGAGGGAGCAA